UUACGAAGGAGCCGUACGUAUAGUUUG
rnacentral:sRNA from 1 species